ensembl:lncRNA
AUGUUUAAGAAAAUCAACGCAGCUUUCCGUCCGAACCAUCUUGGACCUCGCUCCCGGGACAGGUUCAGGCCCAAUGAGGACUACCACAGCGCGUGCACUGUGAAACUGGUCCGGAGCACGUCUAUGCUCGUGGUCGGGGAGAGCAGACGCGCCCCGCAGGACACCACGCUGAAGCGGAGCGUGAGCGCCGUGAGCGUCGAGUCCAGCACGGCCCUGUAUUACUACCAGAGCCGAGAGGACCGAGUAUGGCUCUAUUCCCAGGACCAGAACUGCUUAGAGUACUUACAGGAACUGGUGGCGAUCAGGCGUCAGUACACUAAGAGCAUCAAUGACCUCAAGAACAGCGAACGUAAAGAGACCACGUCCCGCAAGAAGAAGCCCGCACCCCGGCCACCGCAAAACAGAGCUGCACAGACUUCAAGGCCUGAACCUUCUGCUCCACCAAUCCCAAAUGAGGAAGACACACUCCAGUUCUUUGAUGCAGUCAUUGCAAGCUGUGACCCAGAGCCCUGUCGAAAACCACAUAUUGAUAAUGGGCAUGCAGAUGUGGACUUCAUAGUGGCUACUAGUACCAGCGAACAUGACCUUCACUCUAACUGGGUACUUCGGGACCCUCGUCGAAUCUCCAUGAUGGAGUCGCAGCCCAAGAAUUCAGAUAUCAGUCACGGGCAGGCAGCCCAGCGGAAGGGGGACAUGGGAAGCACAGGUAGCAGGAGACGUCUGCAACGAAACCCAAUCCACCUGCCGAAAGUGGUGGAGAGUGCCUUUCAGACUCUGCGCUUCAAACCCAAGCUCAAGAAGAAAGACUAGCCGCUUAAGCAACACUGUUUAAUUCCACUGUUUGUGCCCAGAUGACAACUAAAAGUUCACAGUUGUGCGAACAAGAAGUUGGACCUGGAAGAAAGAAUAAGGAAUAGUCUGAAUCACCACAGAAGAU